rnacentral:lncRNA from 1 species
CGGGCCCGGCCGAGCGGCAGCCCCUGCCCUGGAGGGUGGUCUCCAGGGACCAAGGCGUGGCGGGCGGUGCGGAGAGGCGCGGCACAGAUGGCUACAUCAGAGGGUCUGUUGCUUGUUUCUAGAUUGUCAGCGGGGAUCCACUCCCGUGCGGAAUUUCUCCACAUAUUCAGAACGUCCUAAAAGCUCCACAAAAUCUUCAUCAUGAGUGAUUACCAGAAGCUGGAAGUUACGCUGCUAAGGCUUACUCCUUCGCCUGGGAUUUUCCUGACCUGUUACUACUUUUCUCUGGAAGAAAAAUUUAAAAGUAAUAAAGACAAACUACAGUUACUUGGGUGAGUUGGCUCCCCAGGCUUUUGAGAUACCUGCCUUUUGUCCAGCACUGCAUCGUCCUCGCAUAUCCAAGGCUGUGUCUCCCUUCAGCAUCACCACUCGGCUUUUAGCAGACUGAAGCCAUGGUUUUUAGUUUUGUCUCUAGUGAUGAGCAGAAAAGAGGGAUGAGGAAGAGGCUUUACUGGUCCAACCAGAAAGAGAAGCUAAGAACCCAUGACUGGAUUCUCUCCCUUGGACACCCCACAGACCAAUAUCUCACCUUCCAGGAGAAGACCCUUCCAGCUCUUGCUUCUUUAAACCUAUUAACUUAGUUUUCUUUAGCUAGACUCCCAAACAUCAGCUUUUACAAUUCAGCCUAUGGUUCAAUCACUAUGGCAAGAUAAACAUUUGUUUAGGUGUGAAAC